GAUGAACGCUGGCGGCGUGCCUAAUACAUGCAAGUCGAGCGAACGGACGAGAAGCUUGCUUCUCUGAUGUUAGCGGCGGACGGGUGAGUAACACGUGGAUAACCUACCUAUAAGACUGGGAUAACUUCGGGAAACCGGAGCUAAUACCGGAUAAUAUUUUGAACCGCAUGGUUCAAAAGUGAAAGACGGUCUUGCUGUCACUUAUAGAUGGAUCCGCGCUGCAUUAGCUAGUUGGUAAGGUAACGGCUUACCACGGCAACGAUGCAUAGCCGACCUGAGAGGGUGAUCGGCCACACUGGAACUGAGACGCGGUCCUGGCUCCUACGGGAGGCAGCAGUAGGGAAUCUGCGGCAAUGGGCGAAAGCAUGACGGAGCAACGCCGCGUGAGUGAUGAAGGUCUUCGGAUCGUAAAACUCUGUUAUUAGGGAAGAACAUAUGUGUAAGUAACUGUGCACAUCUUGACGGUACCUAAUCAGAAAGCCACGGCUAACUACGUG
rnacentral:rRNA from 1 species